rnacentral:rRNA from 1 species
UGGGGAAUAUUGCACAAUGGGCGAAAGCCUGAUGCAGCAACGCCGCGUGAGGGACGACGGCCUUCGGGUUGUAAACCUCUUUUAGCAAGGAAGAAGCGAAAGUGACGGUACUUGCAGAAAAAGCGCCGGCUAACUACGUGCCAGCAGCCGCGGUAAUACGUAGGGCGCAAGCGUUAUCCGGAAUUAUUGGGCGUAAAGAGCUCGUAGGCGGUUUGUCGCGUCUGCUGUGAAAACCCGAGGCUCAACCUCGGGCCUGCAGUGGGUACGGGCAGACUAGAGUGCGGUAGGGGAGAUUGGAACUCCUGGUGUAGCGGUGGAAUGCGCAGAUAUCAGGAAGAACACCGAUGGCGAAGGCAGAUCUCUGGGCCGUAACUGACGCUGAGGAGCGAAAGGGUGGGGAGCAAAACAGGCUUAGAUACCCUGGUAGUCCACCCCGUAAAACGUUGGGAACUAAGUUGUGGGGUCCAUUCCACGGAUUCCGUGACGCAGCUAACGCAUUAAGUUCCCCGCCUGGGGAGUACGGCCGCAAGGCUAAAACUCAAAAGGAAUUGAC